rnacentral:rRNA from 1 species
AGCAUAUCAAUAAGCGGAGGAAAAGAAACUAACAAGGAUUCCCCUAGUAACUGCGAGUGAAGAGGGAAAAGCUCAAAUUUAAAAUCUGGCAGUUUCGAUUGUCCGAGUUGUAAUCUGGAGAAGUGUUUUCGGUGCAGGACCAUGUACAAGUCUCUUGGAAUGGAGCAUCAUAGAGGGUGAGAAUCCCGUCUUUGACAUGGACUACCUGUGCUUUGUGAUACGCUCUCAAAGAGUCGAGUUGUUUGGGAAUGCAGCUCAAAAUGGGUGGUAAAUUCCAUCUAAAGCUAAAUAUUGGCGAGAGACCGAUAGCGAACAAGUACCGUGAGGGAAAGAUGAAAAGCACUUUGGAAAGAGAGUUAAACAGUACGUGAAAUUGUUGAAAGGGAAACGCUUGAAGUCAGCCGCGUCUUCUAGGAGUUGCCAUCGGCCGUGUGCUUGGUGUAAUCUCUAGUUGACGGGCCAACAUCGAUUUCAGUCAGUGGAUAAGGGUAAGGGGAAAGUGGCACCCUCGGGUGUGUUAUAGCCUCUUAUCGUAUACAUUUACUGGGAUCGAGGACUGCAGCACUUGUGCUUAGGAUGUUGGCAUAAUGGCUUUAAGCGACCCGUCUUGAAACACGGACCAAGGAGUCUAACAUGCCCGCGAGUGUUAGGGUGGAAAACCCUUGCGCGUAAUUAAAGUGAAAGUUGGGACCUCUGUCAUGGGGGGCACCGACGCCCGGUCCAGAGCUUCUGUGACGGUACUGCGGUAGAGCGUGUAUGUUGGGACCCGAAAGAUGGUGAACUAUGCCUGAAUAGGGUGAAGCCAGAGGAAACUCUGGUGGAGGCUCGUAGCGAUUCUGACGUGCAAAUCGAUCGUCAAAUUUGGGUAUAGGGGCGAAAGACUAAUCGA